rnacentral:misc_RNA from 1 species
UUUCCGUAGGUGAACCUGCGGAAGGAUCAUUAUUGGAUUUUGAAACUUCAGGCUGCUGCUGGCUCUCCUCGGAGGGCAUGUGCACGCUUGUUGUCCAUUAUUUCUCCCACUGUGCACAAAUUGUAGACCUUUCAGUAGGCCUAUGUUGUUUUUCACAAUCUCUGAAUGUAAUAAAAUGGUUUUGAAUCUUGGGAAAUACAAUACAACUUUCAGCAACGGAUCUCUUGGCUCUC